rnacentral:lncRNA from 1 species
AGGGUGUGUGGAGGAAAGAUGCUUACUUCAGGGGAGCCAGGAAACAGAGACGGUGAGAGAAGUAUACAGAAAGGCUCAGGAACAAGAUACACCCUUCAAAGGUACUCUUUUGGUCACCUACUUCCUCCAGCUAGGCCCUAUCUCCUGACAGCCCAUUCAGCUGUGAAUCCAUUGGUGGAUCAGUCCAUUGAGGAAGUGAGUGCCACGAUAAUGCAAUCACUUUUAUAGGCUCCAUCUGUGAACACUGCUGCGCUGGGGACCAAAACUUCUACACAUGAGCCUUCGGGGGGGGGGCUCCUUAGAUCCAAACCAUAACACUCUUGCUCCCUCAGACGCCCUCAUCUGAAAAUGGCAGAUGCCAUCGAUUGCUAACUGGCAGAUCUCUGACGGCCAUGUGGGAAAAAGCAAGAGGAUGGCAGAGAUAUUAACUCAGAGCCCUAAAUUCAGUGCCAGCCCUGGACCCAUCUGACAUAAGACUCCUCUAAGAGAGGAACUGAUGCCAGGCCCCUGUCCCUCAUCUGAGACCGAGAGGAGCAGCAGCCUUCUCCGGAUGGGUCUUGAUCUGAGAUGCUGGCCUGGUCUCUCUCUGCUCUGUCAUCAAACUCUGUCAGGAAACUCUUGGCUUCAGAUUCAGGCUCCCUCGGAAACCAUCUUUUUCAGGUCUGCCUGUUUUUGCAGGAAGGCCCACAUCCGGACAGGAUAUUCACCAGACAUCACAGCCCAGAAUUGACUGUUCGUGUUGGAUGAACAUCUGGUCUCAGCAAUCUCAGCUAACUCUGGGAUAAGCACUUUGGAGGGGGGCGGGAAUCAUCCCUCUACAGAGAAUUCUGCACUAGGCCACUGCUAAGUAGAGGGUCUUAAUCAAAUAGACAUGAGACACUUGGUAACCCAGUUCAUUGUCAGCAGAGUUCAACUACCAGAAGAAUUUGAAAUAAAUCCAAUAGGAUUUCCAAGCCAAUAGGAAUCAUUCCAGUAAGGUG